rnacentral:rRNA from 1 species
UACGAAGGGGGCUAGCGUUGUUCGGAAUUAUUGGGCGUAAAGAGCUCGUAGGCGGUCUGUCGCGUCGGUCGUGAAAACUUGGGGCUUAACCCUGAGCUUGCGGUCGAUACGGGCAUGACUGGAGUUCGGUAGGGGAGACUGGAAUUCCUGGUGUAGCGGUGAAAUGCGCAGAUAUCAGGAGGAACACCGGUGGCGAAGGCGGGUCUCUGGGCCGAUACUGACGCUGAGGAGCGAAAGCGUGGGGAGCGAACAGG